rnacentral:rRNA from 1 species
UACGAAGGGGGCUAGCGUUGUUCGGAAUUACUGGGCGUAAAGCGCACGUAGGCGGGUUGUUAAGUCAGGGGUGAAAUCCUGGAGCUCAACUCCAGAACUGCCUUUGAUACUGGCAACCUAGAGACUGGAAGAGGUUAGUGGAAUUCCCAGUGUAGAGGUGAAAUUCGUAGAUAUUGGGAAGAACACCAGUGGCGAAGGCGGCUACCUGGACAAUUGCUGACGCUCAGGCACGAAAGCGUGGGGAGCAAAGGG